rfam:Micromonospora sp. CB01531 scaffold48, whole genome shotgun sequence.
AACAGCCGUGUAACGGGAGCCCGUUACGCACGGUUCUGUGGGAGCCCGGGGGUGCAAUUCCCCCGGGCGACCCGAC